rnacentral:tRNA from 1 species
GUAUUGGUGGUUCAGUGGUAGAAUUUUCCCUUUCCAUGGGUGUGUGGGGGAACCUGGGUUCCAUUCCCAGCCAAUGUG